rnacentral:rRNA from 1 species
UACGGGGGGAGCAAGCGUUGUUCGGAUUUACUGGGCGUAAAGGGCGCGUAGGCGGCCUCUGCAAGUCGACUGUGAAAUCUCCGGGCUUAACCCGGAACGGUCAGCCGAUACUGCAGGGCUAGAGUGCAGAAGGGGCAACCGGAAUUCUCGGUGUAGCGGUGAAAUGCGUAGAUAUCGAGAGGAACACCUGCGGCGAAGGCGGGUUGCUGGGCUGACACUGACGCUGAGGCGCGAAAGCGUGGGGAGCAAACAGG